CAAUAGCGUAUAUUAAAGUUGUUGCGGUAAAAAAGCUCGUAGUUGGAUUUCUGUUGAGAGCGACCGGUCCAUACCAUGUAUGCGUAUCUGGCUUGCUCUCGGCAUCCUCUCGAUAGACGUUACUGCGCUUGAUUGCGUGGUGCGGAUCUCGGGACUUUUACUUUGAGGAAAUUAGAGUGUUCACGGCAGGCUUUCGCCAGAAUACAUUAGCAUGGAAUAAUACUAUAGGAUCUUGGUUCUAUUUUGUUGGUUUCUAGAAUUGAGAUAAUGAUUAAUAGGGACAAUUGGGGGCAUUCGUAUCAACACGUCAGAGGUGGAAUUCUUGGAUUGUGUUGCGACGAACUACUGCGAGAGCAUUUGCCAAGGAUGUUUUCAUUGA
rnacentral:rRNA from 1 species